rnacentral:tRNA from 1 species
AAAAAAUCAUUAGAUGACUGAAAGCAAGU